UUAUUACUCUCUCCGUUUCAUAAUUCUUGUCGAAAUAUUACAUGUAUCUAGACGCACUUUAGGAAUAGAUACAUCCAUUUUUUUGGCAAAUCAGAGACAAGAAUUAUGGAACGGAGGGAGUAUUUA
rfam:Brachypodium distachyon strain Bd21 chromosome 5, whole genome shotgun sequence.